rnacentral:lncRNA from 1 species
AAGAGAGGGAGGGAGAGAGAGAAAGUCACAGAUAUGCAGAAUGAUAAAUGGACAAGUUCAUUGAUCGAUAUUCAUAUACAGUCAGACAUAUAGAGAGACACACAGAUAGAAUGAGAUAGAUAGAUACAUACAUACAUACAUAAAUAGAUAGACCCAGACAGAUAUAUAGCGAUACAGUUAGAUAUAAUGACAGAUAGACAGAAAGGUAGACUUUUUUUAAUUGUUCUUUUGGAAAUAACUUGGAAAUAAUGGUGAACUUUCAAAUAGUCAGAAGAACCCGAGCCUUUACCCAUAAUUUCACCUUCAAAACUAAUUUGAAAUUCAAAUAUAAAAGUUUCAAAAUUGAACUUAGCUCAAAAUAUCUCCAGAUUAAAAAUGAGACACACACACACACACAUACACACACCCUACCAUCCUAACUUUGGGGAGGUUGGGAAGCGAGGGAUUGCAAAACUGCUUUCAUUCCCCUUUAACUCCUGAAAAAAUAUAAUCAUGCAAGUCUGUAGAUCAAAAUGAUUGCUAAAUUAAUCCCCAUAUUCUAAGUCUUCCCUUUCUGAGGAUUUCAUCAUAGGAUGACAGAAUAUUUGUUUUAACAAGAUAAAAGUGACAAAUAACUUAAAAUAUGUUAGAAAAGCUCCCUAAUUUGGAAAAAGAAUGUCAGUUGGGAAUGAUCAGCAGUGAGCUGUUGAGCUUGAUAGACACUUAUCUGAGCCAAUCCUCAGUCCUUCCAUUGGCCCUUGUGACUGUAUCCUAACCCAUUUUCCCCCAUAGCAUUUCUUUUCCCCACAAUUGUCCCAUAGAAUUCACCUAUAGAUUGCAAAUCUCUCUCGCCAUGCUGAGAUUAUCUUUCUUACUACCAAUUCUUUCUAGGCUUCAUGAUUUCUUUCCUAACUUCUUCUGAUUCGACUUUGAGACAACCCAGCACUCUGGAAUCUUUGCUGGAACUUCUCCAAUGAACAGAUGUUCCUUUCCAUCCUCUUAACAAGGUUUCUACCCAAACAUAUCGGAAUAAGUGGUUGCAGGCAAGCAAAGCAUAUGAUGGUGCCCCUGUGGUUUUCAGAUGGCUCAGCAGAUGUAUUUGGUUCAAGAUUGGAGGGGGAGUGGCAGACAUACAGUUUGGCCAGUGAGGUGAGUGGCUGUAGCAGACUGCAUGAUGGGCCUCCAUUUUCAAGAGGAGACACAUUCUCAUUGAUACAU